UACGUAGGCAGCGAGCGUUGUUCGGAGUUACUGGGCGUAAAGGGUGUGUAGGCGGUUGUUUAAGUUUGGUGUGAAAUCUCCCGGCUCAACUGGGAGGUGCGCCGAAUACUGAAUGACUUCGAGUGCGGGAGAGGAAAGUGGAAUUCCUGGUGUAGCGGUGAAAUGCGUAGAUAUCAGGAGGAACACCUGUGGUGUAGACAGCUUACUGGACCAUUUCUGACGCUGAGACACGAAAGCGUGGGUAGCAAACAGG
rnacentral:rRNA from 1 species